AGUAACGCGUGGGGAACCGUGCCCUAUACAGGGGGGUAACAGCUGGAAACGGUUGCUAAUACCGCAUAAGCGCACAGAAUCGCAUGAUUCAGUGUGAAAAGCCCUGGCAGUAUAGGAUGGUCCCGCGUCUGAUUAGCUGGUUGGUGAGGUAACGGCUCACCAAGGCGACGAUCAGUAGCCGGCUUGAGAGAGUGAACGGCCACAUUGGGACUGAGACACGGCCCAA
rnacentral:rRNA from 1 species